rnacentral:rRNA from 1 species
UACGUAGGGUGCAAGCGCUAAUCGGAAUUACUGGGCGUAAAGCGCGCGCAGGCGGUUUUGUAAGUCUGUCGUGAAAGCCCCGGGCUCAACCUGGGAAUUGCGAUGGAGACUGCAAGGCUUGAAUCUGGCAGAGGGGGGUAGAAUUCCACGUGUAGCAGUGAAAUGCGUAGAGAUGUGGAGGAACACCGAUGGCGAAGGCAGCCCCCUGGGUCAAGAUUGACGCUCAUGCACGAAAGCGUGGGGAGCAAACAGG